rnacentral:rRNA from 1 species
UGGUGGAGUGAUUUGUCUGGUUAAUUCCGAUAACGAACGAGACCUUGACCUACUAACUAGGCGGCGCGACGCCUCGGUGUCGCGUAGGGGAUCUUGUCAGCGAUGGCAAGGUUCACGUGCGCCUUCUUAGAGGGACUAUCGGUGACUAACCGAUGGAAGUUUGAGGCAAUAACA